GACGAACGCUGGCGGCGUGCUUAACACAUGCAAGUCGAACGGAAAGGCCCUGCUUUUGUGGGGUGCUCGAGUGGCGAACGGGUGAGUAACAGGUGAGUAACCUGCCCUUGACUUUGGGAUAACUUCAGGAAACUGGGGCUAAUACCGGAUAGGAGCUCCUGCUGCAUGGUGGGGGUUGGAAAGUUUCGGCGGUUGGGGAUGGACUCGCGGCUUAUCAGCUUGUUGGUGGGGUAGUGGCUUACCAAGGCUUUGACGGGUAGCCGGCCUGAGAGGGUGACCGGCCACAUUGGGACUGAGAUACGGCCCAGACUCCUACGGGAGGCAGCAGUGGGGAAUAUUGCACAAUGGGCGGAAGCCUGAUGCAGCAACGCCGCGUGCGGGAUGACGGCCUUCGGGUUGUAAACCGCUUUCGCCUGUGACGAAGCGUGAGGGACGGUAAUGGGUAAAGAAGCACCGGCUAACUACGU
rnacentral:rRNA from 1 species